rnacentral:rRNA from 1 species
GUGAACCUGCGGAGGGAUCAUUACACAAUAACAAGGCGGGCUGGACACCCCCCGCUGGGCACUGCUUCACGGCGUGCGCGGCGGGGCCGGCCCUGCUGAAUUAUUCACCCGUGUCUUUUGCGUACUUCUUGUUUCCUGGGUGGGCUCGCCCGCCCUCAGGACCAACCACAAACCUUUUGCAAUAGCAAUCAGCGUCAGUAACAACGUAAUUAAUUACAACUUUCAACAACGGAUCUCUUGGUUCUGGCAUCGAUGAAGAACGCAGCGAAAUGCGAUACGUAGUGUGAAUUGCAGAAUUCAGUGAAUCAUCGAAUCUUUGAACGCACAUUGCGCCCUUUGGUAUUCCAAAGGGCAUGCCUGUUCGAGCGUCAUUUGUACCCUCAAGCUUUGCUUGGUGUUGGGCGUCUUUUGUCUCCAGUUCGCUGGAGACUCGCCUUAAAGUCAUUGGCAGCCGGCCUACUGGUUUCGGAGCGCAGCACAAGUCGCGCUCUUCGCCAGCCAAGGUCAGCGUCCAGCAAGCCUUUUUUUUCAACCUUUGACCUCGGAUCAGGUAGGGAUACCCGCUGAACUUAAGCAUAUCAAUAAGCGGAGGAAAUGUCUCCGC